GACGAACGCUGGCGGCGUGCUUAACACAUGCAAGUCGAGCGAUGAAGCACCUUCGGGUGUGAAUUAGCGGCGAACGGGUGAGGAACACGUGAAGAAUCUGCCUUCAACUCUGGGAUAACUCCGGGAAACCGGGGCUAAUACCGGAUAUGAGCCUUGAUCGCAUGAUCGAGGCUGGAACGUCUUUCGGUUGAAGAUGACUUCGCGGCCUAUCAGCGUGUUGGUGAGGUAAUGGCUCACCAAGGCGACGACGGGUAGCCGGCCUGAGAGGGCGACCGGCCACACUGGGACUGAGACACGGCCCAGACUCCUACGGGAGGCAGCAGUGGGGAAUAUUGGGCAAUGGAGGAAACUCUAACCCAGCGACGCCGCGUGAGGGAUGAAGGCCUUCGGGUUGUAAACCUCUUUCAGUAGGGAAGAAGCGAAAGUGACGGUACCUACAGAAGAAGCACCGGCUAACUAUGUGCCAGCCGCCGCGGUAA
rnacentral:rRNA from 1 species